rnacentral:rRNA from 1 species
UACGUAGGGUGCGAGCGUUGUCCGGAAUUAUUGGGCGUAAAGAGCUUGUAGGCGGUUUGUCGCGUCUGCUGUGAAAAUCCGGGGCUCAACCCCGGACUUGCGGUGGGUACGGGCAGACUAGAGUGUGGUAGGGGAGACUGGAAUUCCUGGUGUAGCGGUGAAAUGCGCAGAUAUCAGGAGGAACACCGAUGGCGAAGGCAGGUCUCUGGGCCACUACUGACGCUGAGAAGCGAAAGCGUGGGGAGCGAACAGG